rnacentral:lncRNA from 1 species
AGUGCAGGCCGACAGGAGCCGGAUGUAGAUCUCUCCCGAGAGACACAGCCAGAAUACAGCAAACACAGAGGCGUAUGCCAGCAGCAAACCACUGAAUUGAGAAUAGGACCCCCGUUGAAGGAAUCAGAGAAAGAACUGGAAGAGCUUGAAGGGGCUCGAGACCCCAUAGGUACAACAAUGCCAAGCAACCAGAGCUUCCAGGGACUAAGCCACUACCUAAAGACUAAAUAUGGACUGACCCUGGACUCUGACCUCAUAAGUAGCAAUAAAUAUCCUAGUAAGAGCACCAGUGGAAGGAGAAGCCCUAGGUCCUGCUAAGACUGAACCCCCAGUGAACUAGAUUGUUGAGGGGAGGGCGGCAAGGGGGGAGGAUGGGGAGGGGAACACCCAUAAGGAAGGGGAGGGGGGAGGGGCAUGUUUGCCCGGAAACUGGGAAAGGGAAUAACACUCGAAAUGUAUAUAAGAAAUACUCAAGUUAAUAAAAAAAAAAAGAAAGAA